GCCAGACUCCUACGGGAGGCAGCAGUGAGGAAUAUUGGUCAAUGGUCGGGAGACUGAACCAGCCAAGCCGCGUGAGGGAGGAAGGUACAGAGUAUCGUAAACCUCUUUUGUCAGGGAACAAAGACUGGGACGCGUCCCCGGAUGAGUGUACCUGAAGAAAAAGCAUCGGCUAACUCCGUGCCAGCAGCCGCGGUAAUACGGAGGAUGCGAGCGUUAUCCGGAUUUAUUGGGUUUAAAGGGUGCGUAGGCGGAAUGCCAAGUCAGCGGUAAAAUCGCGGGGCUCAACCCCGUACUGCCGUUGAAACUGCAUCCCUUGAGUGCGCGAGAGGUAUGCGGAAUGCGUGGUGUAGCGGUGAAAUGCAUAGAUAUCGCGCAGAACUCCGAUUGCGAAGGCAGCAUGCCGGCUCCACACUGACGCUGAGGCACGAAAGCGUGGGUAUCGAACAGGAUUAGAUACCCCUGUAA
rnacentral:rRNA from 1 species